UACGUAGGGUGCAAGCGUUAAUCUGAAUUACUGGGCGUAAAGCGUGCGCAGGCGGUCUUGCAAGACAGAUGUGAAAUCCCCGGGCUCAACCUGGGAACUGCAUUUGUGACUGCAAGGCUGGAGUGCGGCAGAGGGGGGUGGAAUUCCGCGUGUAGCAGUGAAAUGCGUAGAUAUGCGGAGGAACACCGAUGGCGAAUGCAAUCCCCUGGGCCUGCACUGACGCUCAUGCACGAAAGCGUGGGGAGCAAACAGG
rnacentral:rRNA from 1 species